AGUGAACGCUGGCGGUAGGCCUAACACAUGCAAGUCGAACGGCAGCACAGUAAGUGCUUGCUCUUACGGGUGGCGAGUGGCGGACGGGUGAGGAAUACAUCGGACUCUACUUUUUCGUGGGGGAUAACGUAGGGAACCUUACGCUAAUACCGCCUACGACCUACGGGUGAAAUCAGGGGAUCUUCGGACCUUGCGCGAUCGAAUGAGCCGAUGUCGGAUUAGCUAGUUGGCGGGGUAAAGGCCCACCAAGGCGACGCUCCGUAGCUGGUCUGAGAGGAGGAAGAGCCACACUGGGAGUGGGAGACGGUCCAGGCUCCGACGGGAGGCAGCGGUGGGGAAUAUUGGACGAUGGGGGCAAUCCUGAUCCAGCCAUACCGCGUGGGUGAAGAGGGCCUUCGUGUUGUAUAGCCCUUUUGUUGGGAAAGAAAAGCAGCAGGUUAAUACCCCGCUGUUCUGACGGUACCCAAAGAAUAAGCACCGGCUAACUUCGUG
rnacentral:rRNA from 1 species